rnacentral:ncRNA from 2 species
AUUCGUUCUCAGGGCGGGGUGCAAUUCCCCACCGGCGGUAAGGAGAUCUCUCCAAGCCCGCGAGCGCCUGUUUCUUCGACGGCAACGUCAGUAGGGGCAGGGUCAGCAGAUCCGGUUUGAUUCCGGAGCCGACGGUAUAGUCCGGAUGAAAGAGAAUGAGG